GCUUAGAUAAAAUAGACUGAGUUAUGCAAAAUUCCCUGCAAGCUAGCUCUAAUUCCCUUCUUUACCAUACAUCAGUGGUCAGCCAUUGAAAACUCUGUCCUAACCAACUAGACUAACCAACCUUUGAGGAAGAGGAAAAUAUGUAUCUAGAGAGAUCUUAUCCAUCAGCAAAUCUUGUUGGCUGUACCUUCCAUGUGUAUCCAGAAUUGAACUUUAUAUGACCUUCACUGCCACCACCAAGGUCCAAACAACCAUCACCUCCUGCCUGGAUAGAAUCCUGCUUAAAUGCCACUCUCGCACCGAGGACUUCCCUGGCCACUUCCUGUUCACUUCAGCAGCUUUAUUUUUCUCCUUAGCACUAAUCAGUAUCUAAAAUACUAUGUAUUUUACCUGGUUAUUUUGUUUAUUGUCUCCCU
rnacentral:lncRNA from 10 species